rnacentral:rRNA from 1 species
UACGUAGGCAGCGAGCGUUGUUCGGAAUUACUGGGCGUAAAGAGUGUGUAGGUGGUGCUCUAAGUUCGGUGUGAAAUCUCCCGGCUUAACUGGGAGGGUGCAUUAGAAACUGGAAUGCUAGAGGAUGGGAGAGGUAAGCGGAAUUCCCGGUGUAGCGGUGAAAUGCGUAGAGAUCGGGAGGAACACCAGAGGCGAAGGCGGCGACCUGGAACAGUAUUGACACUCAACUACGAAAGCGUGGGUAGCAAACAGG